AAACUGGAAGAACAAAGGCAUAAUAUUAAAUAUAAAAGGCAUAUAUAUCGAAGUAGUACUGUUGAGCCAAUUCCAAAUCACGAUGAAGUUUUUGUUUCAGCUGCCUUGUUGUUCAUGCUUCUGUUUCGUUGAGCCAAAGAAGGGGAAACACAAGGACGGAGAGACAAAGGAGUGAUGAGAAAGCGUCUUCAAAGAGAGAAUACAAAUCUCUAUUUGAUUAAUCUUUUUGGGGUCAAUUUCUUUCUGUUGUGUGUCCGUUUCUGAAUAAUGUUUUUACUAAAAAAAGAGAAGAUCAUUUUUGAUGUAUCCUUCUCUGGAUUUGUAUGUAUGAUCACUAUCUCACUUACUUAAGCUUCUCUUGAUAUGAUUUCAAAUAUAUUGUUC
rnacentral:sRNA from 1 species